rnacentral:rRNA from 1 species
UACAGGGGGUGCAAACGUUGCUCGGAAUCAUUGGGCGUAAAGCGCGCGUAGGCGGCUUUGCAAGUGACGGGUGAAAGCCCUCGGCUUAACCGAGGAACUGCCUGUCAGACUGUGAGGCUUGAGACCGGGAGAGGUGAGUGGAAUUCCCAGUGUAGCGGUGAAAUGCGUAGAUAUUGGGGAGGAACACCAGUGGCGAAGGCGGCUCACUGGACCGGAACUGACGCUGAGGCGCGAAAGCGUGGGGAGCAAACAGG